rnacentral:rRNA from 1 species
GACGAACGCUGGCGGCGUGCUUAACACAUGCAAGUCGAACGGAAAGGCCCUGCUUUUGUGGGGUGCUCGAGUGGCGAACGGGUGAGUAACACGUGAGUAACCUGCCCUUGACUUUGGGAUAACUUCAUGAAACUGGGGCUAAUACCGGAUAGGAGCUCCUGCUGCAUGGUGGGGGUUGGAAAGUUUCGGCGGUUGGGGAUAGACUCGCGGCUUAUCAGCUUGUUGGUGGGGUAGUGGCUUACCAAGGCUUUGACGGGUAGCCGGCCUGAGAGGGUGACCGGCCACAUUGGGACUGAGAUACGGCCCAGACUCCUACGGGAGGCAGCAGUGGGGAAUAUUGCACAAUGGGCGGAAGCCUGAUGCAGCAACGCCGCGUGCGGGAUGACGGCCUUCGGGUUGUAAACCGCUUUCGCCUGUGACGAAGCGUGAGUGACGGUAAUGGGUAAAGAAGCACCGGCUAACUACGUG